UUGGUGGCGACCGGCGCACGGGUGAGUAACGCGUAUGCAACCUACCUAUCAGAGGGGAAUAACCCGGCGAAAGUCGGACUAAUACCGCAUAAAACAGGGGCACCGCAUGGUGAUAUUUGUUAAAGAAAUUCGCUGAUAGAUGGGCAUGCGUUCCAUUAGGUAGUUGGUGAGGUAACGGCUCACCAAGCCGACGAUGGAUAGGGGAACUGAGAGGUUGGCCCCCCACACUGGUACUGAGACACGGACCAGACUCCUACGGGAGGCAGCAGUGAGGAAUAUUGGUCAAUGGGCGGGAGCCUGAACCAGCCAAAGUCGCGUGAAGGAAGAAGGAUCUAUGGUUCGUAAACUUCUUUUGCAGGGGAAGAAUAAGCCCCUCGUGAGGGGUGGUGCCGGUACCGGGGGAAUAAGGAUCGGCUAACUCCGUGCCAGCCGCUGC
rnacentral:rRNA from 1 species